rnacentral:rRNA from 1 species
UACGCACGCUGGCGGCGUGCUUAACACAUGCAAGUCGAACGGAAAGGCCCUGCUUUUGUGGGGUGCUCGAGUGGCGAACGGGUGAGUAACACGUGAGUAACCUGCCCUUGACUUUGGGAUAACUUCAGGAAACUGGGGCUAAUACCGGAUAGGAGCUCCUGCUGCAUGGUGGGGGUUGGAAAGUUUCGGCGGUUGGGGAUGGACUCGCGGCUUAUCAGCUUGUUGGUAGGGUAGUGGCUUACCAAGGCUUUGACGGGUAGCCGGCCUGAGAGGGUGACCGGCCACAUUUGGACUGAGAUACGGCCCAGACUCCUACGGGAGGCAGCAGUGGGGAAUAUUGCACAAUGGGCGGAAGCCUGAUGCAGCAACGCCGCGUGCGGGAUGACGGCCUUCGGUUUGUAAUCCGCUUUCGCCUGUGACGAAGCGUGAGUGACGGUAAUGGGUAAAGAAGCACCGGCUAACUACGUG